AUCCCCGGCCCUUCUGCGCCCACACCUGAGUUUUUGUCUAAUCGACAUCUAGAGGAGUAUUCACCACUUAAUUGAUGAUCAAUACACGUUCGUUGAAAGAACCGAUAGCAUGCGAUCGAUACAGAGCAUCUGCACUGGGAGUGUCCGCCCCGCCUGGCAGGGAGGCCUCGGGGGCUAAUGGAGCUGAGGGUAUAGUCGGCCUUGGACCCUCGCUUUUUUCCUUUCCUGUACCAUGAAGAUAACUGCCUUAUCUCCCCCUCAGGACUGUUUUGGGGAUUAAAUAGGACGUUUAAAUUACCAACGCUCUUUGAAAUAAACAUUUCAAAAUUAU
rnacentral:lncRNA from 1 species